UACAGAGGUCUCAAGCGUUGUUCGGAUUCAUUGGGCGUAAAGGGUGCGUAGGUGGCGGGGUAAGUCAGGUGUGAAAUCUCGGGGCUCAACCCCGAAACUGCAUUUGAUACUGCCUUGCUCGAGUACUGGAGAGGAGAUUGGAAUUUACGGUGUAGCAGUGAAAUGCGUAGAUAUCGUAAGGAAGACCAGUGGCGAAGGCGAAUCUCUGGACAGUUAAUGACACUGAGGCACGAAGGCCAGGGGAGCAAACGGG
rnacentral:rRNA from 1 species